rnacentral:rRNA from 1 species
GACGAACGCUGGCGGCGUGCUUAACACAUGCAAGUCGAACGGAAAGGCCCCUUUGGGGGUCCUCGAGUGGCGAACGGGUGCGUAACACGUGAGUAACCUGCCCUUGACUUCGGGAUAACUUCAGGAAACUGGGGCUAAUACCGGCUAGGAAUCCUUGCUGCAUGGUGGGGGUUGGAAAGCUUCGGCGGUUUUGGAUGGACUCGCGGCUUAUCAGCUUGUUGGUGGGGUAGUGGCUUACCAAGGCUUUGACGGGUAGCCGGCCUGAGAGGGCGACCGGCCACAUUGGGACUGAGAUACGGCCCAGACGCCGACGGGAGGCAGCAGUGGGGAAUAUUGCACAAUGGGCGGAAGCCUGAUGCAGCAACGCCGCGUGCGGGAUGACGGACUUCGGGUUGUAAACCGCUUUCAGCAGGGGCGAAGCUUGUGGUGACGGUACCUGCAGAAGAAGCACCGGCUAACUACGUG